rnacentral:rRNA from 1 species
CAGAGGGUGCAAACGUUGUUCGGAAUUACUGGGCGUAAAGCGCGUGUAGGCGGCUAUGUAAGUCGGGCGUGAAAUCCCACGGCUCAACCGUGGAAGUGCACCCGAAACUGCGUAGCUAGAGUCCUGGAGAGGAAGGUGGAAUGCUUGGUGUAGAGGUGAAAUUCGUAGAUAUCAAGCGGAACACCGGUGCCGAAGGCGGCCUUCUGGACAGUGACUGACGCUGAGACGCGAAAGCGUGGGGAGCAAACAGGAUUAGAUACCCUGGUAGUCCACGCCGUAAACGAUGAGUGCUAGGUGUCACGGGCUUUGACCCUCAUGGUGCCGAAGCUAACGCGUUAAGCACUCCGCCUGGGGAGUACGGCCGCAAGGCUA